rnacentral:rRNA from 1 species
AAGCAAGCUUUGAUCCGGAGAUUUCCGAAUGGGGAAACCCACCACUCGUAAUGGAGUGGUAUCCAUAUCUGAAUACAUAGGAUAUGAGAAGGCAGACCCGGGGAACUGAAACAUCUAAGUACCCGGAGGAAGAGAAAGCAAAUGCGAUUCCCUGAGUAGCGGCGAGCGAAACGGGACCAGCCCAAACCAAGCGGCUUGCCUCUUGGGGUUGUAGGACACUCUGUACGGAGUUACAAAGGAACGAGGUAGAUGAAGAGGUCUGGAAAGGCCCGCCAUAGGAGGUAACAGCCCUGUAGUCAAAACUUCGUUCUCUCCUGA